UGCCAGCAGCGCGGUAAUACGGAGGGAGCUAGCGUUGUUCGGAAUUACUGGGCGUAAAGCGCACGUAGGCGGCUUUGUAAGUUAGAGGUGAAAGCCCGGAGCUCAACUCCGGAACUGCCUUUAAGACUGCAUCGCUAGAAUCAUGGAGAGGUUAGUGGAAUUCCGAGUGUAGAGGUGAAAUUCGUAGAUAUUCGGAAGAACACCAGUGGCGAAGGCGACUAACUGGACAUGUAUUGACGCUGAGGUGCGAAAGCGUGGGGAGCAAACAGG
rnacentral:rRNA from 1 species